rfam:Deltaproteobacteria bacterium RBG_16_64_85 RBG_16_scaffold_10138, whole genome shotgun sequence.
GAGCCCAUAGCUCAGUUGGUAGAGCAUCUGACUUUUAAUCAGAGGGUCGCAGGUUCGAUUCCUGCUGGGCUCA